CCUUUAGUUUUGAGGUUGGUGUACUGUGUGUGAGUAUACAUAUUUAUCACACACAGUCGCCAUCUUCGAAAGUGAGGGUGC
rfam:Rattus norvegicus chromosome X, whole genome shotgun sequence.